GCAUGUCAAUGGCAUGUACUGUUUACUACAACAAGCAUCGCUAACGGCAAACCACUCAAAAACUAAUCACAUUACCCUAAAAUAGUCAGAGGCACGAUGGGCAUCUGUAUUCCUGUGGGAAUUUUGUACUGCAAGAAAGCCACCUAACGUAUCUCGAUGAGUUCAACUUUUGACUAACCUUUUUGUCUGCCAAACGUUGUACACACAUACAUAGAACAAAUGAACAUUUUCCGGUGUUUUCCAGUCACGUAAAAGGUAGACCAGUAUAGUUG